GUUGGCGUGAUGUAGUGGUUUGAGCACUGGACUAUGACUCUGGAGAUCAGGGUUCGAUUCCCCACUCAGCAAUG